UGUCCUGUCCUGUCCUGUCCUGUCCUGUCCUGUCUCUGUGGGAACAGUCUGAUCUCUCUAUCUGAAGAACAAGUGGGCGUGGCCAAGACCUGAGCCUUGGGUCGAGCAGAGGACAAACUAUUUGGCAUCAGAGAAAGACCAGAUGCAGGGAGGAGGUGACUCGGCUGCAACACGACAAUAAAAUGGUCUUUUUGCUCYGCUGACCUGAUGGGAUUUUCCUGGUGGGACACCGAGACCUCUUCUCAAACAAUCUACAGAUCCUACAGACAGGUUUGGGUCAUGUUGUGGGUCAGGAGUCUUUGACCAGCUGUUCCGAUCCACUGGCCCAGCAGGAGGUAAUGAGACAGGAAGACAACACGUGGAGUUACCCAAAACCAGUAAAAGGUUGAGGCCAUGAGCCAAGCUGCACCCAGGCAGCCUGCAGCAGAGGGYGGAGGAAACAAGUCCUCUCUACCUUCCAGGAAGAAUUAACCUGAACACACCUUCAGAUUUCCUCAAACUUAGACAACAAAGGGUCUGGACCCACAUGACUCAGUGGUUGWGUCUCCCUGCUGGUCUGGUGCUCUUUGGUUUUGUGGAGUGAGUUUCUGCAGUGUUUCUUGUUUUUUGUGUCUUGCUGUUUGCAUCAUUUGUGUGUUUGCAGCCUGUUGUAUAAGGUCACUGUGAAACUUAAAAACUCUGUUUUUCAAAACCAGAA